CGUAUUCUCCUUUCAUUGCUUUUCCUUUUGGGUUUUUCCUUUUCGAUUAUCUCUUAGAAUAACCAAUCCCGAGCGAGUGUAUGAUUGAGUUUUGGAUGGUUAUUGUAUUAAAAUAAUAGGAGAAGAAGGAGGAGAGAAAGAAGUGUGAGGUUGGUUUGGGAAGAGAAGGGAGAAAGAGAGGUGUUUGGAUUUGUUUAUUACAGUAUAUAUGGAGAAUGAGAGAAGGAAAGAGAGAGAGAGAGAAAGGUAGGUGAGCUUGGAAACUAAGUAAAGACUAAUGGCGCCGCUGGUUGGAAGAAAGGGGUCCACAAGACACUUGAGACAGAUAGGGAUAGAUAUAUGUCGAAUGCAAAUUGAGCAUUAUUGGGUGCCUCAAUCUACCACCGCCUUUCCUUUUCUUCCUUCACCCUUUUCAGACCUACCAUACCAUACUCCACACUUCUAUCAUUCUCUCAUACUAAUAAAUCACUUCUUAUUCUUAUGCUACCCUCCCUC
rnacentral:lncRNA from 1 species